GACAAGAAGCAGAUUCCGGCUGGCAAGGGAUUGCCCGAGAACUAGAGACAGCCCACAAGCAGGAGCUUUUUUUAAUCAGAGUGGCUCCAAAUGAUCGUGGGCUGACUUUGACCUAGAUGAUGGUCAACAAACCAAGUGAAAUGAGAGCACUUAGCCGGACAGGACCAUGAGACCAUGAAGGGGGAUCACAGUCUACAAGUUGAACCGAACCAUCAGGAGCUGACUGAAUGAUCCAGGCGAUGGUCAACGAUGGAGUCCUAGAGACAGUGGGACUGAAACGCUUCGACAGGCAUAUUGGAUGCACAUUAAUCAAAUUAAGGAGGAUGUGGCUCAUGAACAUCAGGCAGUGGGAACUUGGUGAAGAGGAG